rnacentral:lncRNA from 1 species
CCUUCAAGAGAUUCCAACCGGCUAUUAACACUCAUUAUGGCGGCCAUCAAAGCUCCCAUGGUUACCUUUUCCGAUGCCAUAGUACCUAGCAAAUAAAUACUAAAACAAAAACAAAAGCAACAAACAAGUUAAGGUUAGGAAAACUUAUACCAAUCAAGCUACGGAAGGCACUAAAAUGACAUAAAAACAGUCCACAAACAACAAGGUAAACCGAGGACCAAAUGAGACCUUGUCUCGGCUUCCACAACAAUACUACAAGAACAAGAACAACAAGAUAUCAAGGUUUUCAACACCUAAUUCAACCAACCAACAAACUAACAAAUAGAUUACAACUACACAACAAGCUCUCAGGUUCUCACACACACAAGCCGAGGGUGAGCACUAACAAUAAUAAAAUGGAUAGAUAGAUAGAUAACUUGACAUACAAAUGUAUAAACACUAUGAACCUAAGUGUGUAUCAAACACAAAGACCCAAAGAUUCACAUAAGUGUGUAUCAAACACAAAGACCCAAAGAUUCACACAAGUAACACCAAGCUCUUACGGAGACCUUAAGGGAACCGAAAUUCCAAGCAACCACCGUUUCUACUUGUACCAACACUAGUGAUAUCCACACUUGCAUUAACACCCAAAGAGUAUUCUCACAAUAUUCAUCAAAGUUGUGGACUAAAGACCUAAUAUGUUCUAUUUAUAGUCUAGGUUAAGCUUAUUAUACAAAAUGACCAAAAGGCCCUUAAUGAACCUUUACAAAGGGGCGGCCUUGGAGUGUACAUAUGGACGGCUUUGGAGUGUUGGGACUUGUUCUCCACACUUCAAAGCUUGUUCUCUUGGUUGGGCAGCCACCCGAGCUCGAGUCUUUACGUAUUGACUUCCAAUCAUGUCCUUGAGAGCUAAGAUGCCUCUUUGAUUUGUAUCAUCCUCCCCUUCUUGAAAAGGAUUCGACCUCGGAUCCGAACCUUGCAAAACAAUAGGGUACACAAGAAAACACACAUUCCUCAUGGCAUGAGGGUUAAUGUUAGCAUAAUCAACUAUAGUAUAAAACCAAAGUUACACACACUUCAUAAGCCGAAGAGUCUUAGGGAAUAGGAUACCCUUCCAAUCACAAAAACCCGAAUACCCUAAAGAAGAAACAAUUUGUCUACCCACAUAAGUGUGACGAGAAACAAGAGAGGCUUGGAACAUACCUUUGGAGUGAAAACCAGAGCUUGCUCUUGGCUUGGAACUUGGCACAAUGCUAGUGCCGAAUAUGGUGAAUAACAAGUGCUUGGUUUUGGGUACCAAGUUCUUCCUCUUGAACCCGAAAUGCAUCACCUCCAACAUCCGGGUUCUUCUUCAUCAUGAGGUUAAAGUUCAAGACCUCUCCUUUUUCAGGCCAAACAUCUUCAUGAGGAGCUUUCAUUAUCAACCCGCAAGGCACACUAACAUUUUCUUCUUCCACUACCAUCUUGGCUUCAUCAUCAUUGUCAUCCUCCUUUUGAGGGAUUUCCUCACGAAUAUCAUUUAUUGUCACUUUACCCCUAACAAAGUAAGGAUCACCCUCCACCAACACAAUGUUCCUUCGGUUUGGGCACUCACUAGCUUUGUGACCCCAACCUUGACAUUUAAAACAAACAAUACCUUUAGGAUUAGGAGUAGAAGAUGGGUUACCUUCAAGCCGUGGUGGAUAGCUUUGGAUGGUCCCAUCAAUCGGCCUCAUCUAAGGAAUUGUAUGAGUCUUUAGGCUUGUUCUAUCCGAAGGUCUUCUUGGCAUAAUUGUUUCUUUCAACUUCAAUGACCGCUUCAACAAGGUCCUUAAUUCGGUCAAACUUGAGGACAACUAGUUGAGAAACAACUUCAUAGCACAAGCCACCUUUGAACCCAGCUAGGCAAUGAUUUGGAGGUUUAACAAUAUCAAGGCGAAGGAUCAAGUUUUGAAACUCAUCAUAAUACUCCUCUACACUUCUAUCUCCUUGCUUUAAAUUGUAGAGCCUUGUUAAUUGCUUUUGUUUGUACCUCUCUGUGACAUAUCUCUCUCAUAAGAGCUUUCAAUUCAUCCCGAUUCGGAAGGUCAAGAUUGCUAUUCCUUGCUCUUUGCAACCGCUUUGUCUCCCACCAAGUAGAUGCAUAUCCUUCAAAUUGAGCAAUGGCAUGCGUGGCUUUCUUUUGGGAAGUUAACUCAUUGAGUUGGAAAUUCCGAUUAUAUUGCAACUCCCAAUCAAGAUAGAUUGAGGAGUCACUAGUUCCCUUGAAAGUAGGAAGAGUGAUCUUGAUGGAGUUGAGACCUGUGUCUCUACCCACAUUGCCUCCUUGGUCCCCUAGACCUUCUUGAACAUGAGGUCGGUGUCCCAAGUUGCCUCUACCAUGAGGAGCCGGACCAAACCUUCCCCCUCGGCCCUUAUGCCCUUCGCCAUAAGCUCCUCUUCUAUUGCACACAAAUCCCGCAAAGAAAGUCACUUUAUCUAACUCCUCACCUCCAUAAGAACACUCACGCUCCACAUCAUCAAUUUGGAUAGGUUGGUUUCGGUUUAGUGGUGCUUUCGGCAUUUCAAGGUGGUCUCGGUUUUGUGGAGCUUCUUGGUGGACUUGGUUUCGGUUAUUUGGAUAAGUAGGGAUUUGGUUGACGGGCUCAUGGACUUGUCUAGGUGGGUUGAACAUUUGGUGAAGUGUAUCCGGAGUUAUAGUAGGGGAGGCGUUGGUAGCAUGUCCACUGGAUGAGGUAUGGUAGUUUUUAGGACUUGAAUGGUUGGACACUAGACGGACUUCUAAGGUAUCCAUUCUCCUUGAGAAAGAACCUUCCGUCCCUUCUAUCCGUCCCUCUAUCUUCUCCAUUCGACUACUAAGAUCAUGUUUUACCCCAUUAUGGCUGCUAUCAAGUCAUCCAUAUUUCCUCUCCUGAAGUCUUGGACUACCUUCACCCGAAGCCAUGGUAUUUAACAAAGAAAUGCUACACACAACACAAACAACAAGUUAAGGUUAGCAAAAAUCAACCUCACAAACUCUCAAGCUCACACUUUUACAAGUAUCACUCAAAUGAUCUCACAAGUAUUGGUACACCAUCCAUAUUUCCUCUCCCGAAGUCCUUGGACUACCUUCACCCGAAGCCAUGGUACUUAACAAAGAAAUGCUAAACACAACACAAACAACAAGUUAAGGUUAGCAAAAAUCAACCUCACAAACUCUCAAGCUCACACUUUUCCAAGUAUCACUCAAAUGAUCUCACAAGUAUUGGUACACCAUUUAUACUCCAAUGAGGUUACUUGGUCCCAAUUGCGGCUUAAGGUCGGAAUAGAUUUUUGUUGGCAACGACUCAAAACAAAUAUGUACGUACUUGAAUCAAGAAGCUACAAUGAAUUUCAAAAAGAUAAAAGCCCGCAAAGAAACGUAGACACGAAUUAAACGGACCUAAAACUAACUUACAACCUAAUAGACAAUUACUAGUUUGUUAAUUAGCAAUAGAAUCAACAAAAUGCAGCUAAGAAACAAAGAUUAGAAACUAAGAAACCAAAAUUUGAGCCUAAAAUUCUCGUGUGAACAGUAAUUAGUGACGUGGCAGCCACGUAUUGAUUGCAGUCUUUAACAAAUUUUAUUUUUCCAAAUUUGAAAGUUUUGAUCAAUUUGUGAUUUGGAAUUGGUGGGAAUUGGUUUAGGAGGGAAACAAGUCUUGAAAUACUCUUUCAAAUUUAAAAAUUGAAGACUUGACUUUCUUGUACUAUUUCCCUAAAACAUGGUCCCCAAAACAUGGAAAGUGGUUGGAAGUAGUUGACAAGCCUUGAGUGAUUGUUCGUCUUUCAAGACUAACAAGUACUUCACUCUUUUCCCUUCACCUUUUGAGAUUUAACAUUCACUUUUUUUUUAAACAAGGUAUGAAGGUUGUGAAGAACAUCAAGAAUAAUAUCAACAAUCACCAAGAACAACAAUAACAACCACACAGCCAAGCCAACUCCACAACAACAAAGCCAACAACAAAACCACCAACAAACGACCAAGACCACAACAAUAACAACACAACCGGCCAAGGCUUAGAUCCACAACAAGAACUUCAACAACAUAAGCUCAAACUUUAGAUCUAGACUCAAGAGUAUUAGUGAAGAAGAAAAUUAACGCUAGAAACAACAAAACAAACAAAAGAACACCUAGAUCUAGACUCAACUUUCGGCCAAGAACACAAACUCAAGAACACUACUUUUUUUUUUUUUGAUUUUUCAAGCAAGCAAGCCCAAGAUUGAUCUUGUGGGAACAAAUCAGCCAUGCUCUGAUACCAAAUGAUACCAACCAAGCUACAGAGGCACUAAAAUGACAUAAAAACAGUCCACAAACAACAAGGUAAACCCGAGGACUAAAUGAGACCUUGUCUCGGCUUCCACAACAAUACUACAAGAACAAGAACUACAAGAUAUCAAGGUUUUCAACACUUAUUUAAGCCAACCAACAAACUAGCAAAUAGAUUACAACUACACAACAAGCUCUCGGGUUCACACACACAAAAGACGAGAGUGAGCACUAACAACAAUAAAAUGGAUAGAUAGAUAGGUAACUUGACAUACAAAUGUAUAAACAGCAAGAACCUAAGUGUGUAUCAAACACAAUGACCC